rnacentral:rRNA from 1 species
GGAUUAGAUACCCUGGUAGUCCACGCCCUAAACGAUGUCAACUAGUUGUUGGGGAUUCAUUUCCUUAGUAACGUAGCUAACGCGUGAAGUUGACCGCCUGGGGAGUACGGUCGCAAGAUUAAAACUCAAAGGAAUUGACGGGGACCCGCACAAGCGGUGGAUGAUGUGGAUUAAUUCGAUGCAACGCGAAAAACCUUACCUACCCUUGACAUGUAUGGAACCUGGCUGAGAGGUCGGGGUGCCCGAAAGGGAGCCAUAACACAGGUGCUGCAUGGCUGUCGUCAGCUCGUGCCG